rnacentral:rRNA from 2 species
CAACUUUCAACAACGGAUCUCUUGGCUCUGGCAUCGAUGAAGAACGCAGCGAAAUGCGAUAAGUAAUGUGAAUUGCAGAAUUCCGUGAAUCAUCGAAUCUUUGAACGCACAUUGCGCCCCUCGGUAUUCCGGGGGGCAUGCCUGUUCGAGCGUCAUUA